GUGGGGAAUCUUGCGCAAUGGGCGAAAGCCUGACGCAGCAACGCCGCGUGGGGGAUGAAGCUUUUCGGAGUGUAAACCCCUUUCGACCCGGAGGAAUCCCCGCAAGGGAUUGACAGUACGGGUAUAAGAAGCCCCGGCUAACUACGUGCCAGCAGCCGCGGUAAAACGUAGGGGGCCAGCGUUGCUCGGAAUUACUGGGCGUAAAGGGUCUGUAGGCGGUGCGGCAAGUCGGAAGUGAAAUCUCAGGGCUUAACCCUGAGGCUGCUCCCGAAACUGCUGUGCUCGAGUGCGAGAGAGGCGAGUGGAAUUGCAGGUGUAGCGGUGAAAUGCGUAGAUAUCUGCAGGAACAUCCGAGGCGAAAGCGGCUCGCUGGAUCGCAACUGACGCUGAGAGACGAAAGCUAGGGGAGCAAACAGGAUUAGAUACCCUGGUAGUCC
rnacentral:rRNA from 1 species